GAUGAAGAACGCAGCGAAAUGCGAUACGUAAUGUGAAUUGCAGAAUUCAGUGAAUCAUCGAGUCUUUGAACGCACAUUGCGCCCUGUGGUAUUCCGCAGGGCAUGCCUGUUCGAGCGUCAUUUCAACCCUCAAGCCCCGCUUGGUGUUGGGCCCCGCCCGCUGUGGCCGGCCCUAAAGACAGUGGCGGCGCCGCCUGGCCCUCAGCGUAGUACAUCUCUCGCUCCAGGGUCCGGUGGCCGCCUGCCAGAACCCCCCAACUCUGUGGUUGACCUCGGAUCAGGUAGGGAUACCCGCUGAACUUAAGCAUAUCAAUAAGCGGAGGA
rnacentral:misc_RNA from 1 species